AUUGUUUUAAAAGGUAUUAUUCUGAGACUUAAAAUCUCUCGACCGAAAGGUCGUCCCGGUUCAAGUCCGGGUUCGGGCACCA
rnacentral:tRNA from 1 species